CCUACGGGAGGGCAGCAGUGGGGGAAUCUUGCGCAAUGGGCGAAAGCCUGACGCAGCCAUGCCGCGUGAAUGAUGAAGGUCUUAGGAUUGUAAAAAUUCUUUCACCGGGGACGAUAAUGACGGUACCCGGAGAAGAAGCCCCGGCUAACUUCGUGCCAGCAGCCGCGGUAAUACGAAGGGGGCUAGGCGUUGCUCGGAAUUACUGGGCGUAAAGGGAGCGUAGGCGGAUAGUUUAGUCAGAGGUGAAAGCCCAGGGCUCAACCCUUGGAAUUGCCUUUGAUACUGGCUAAUCUUGAGUACGGAAGAGGUAUGUGGAACUCCGAGUGUAGAGGUGAAAUUCGUAGAUAUUCGGAAGAACACCAGUGGCGAAGGCGACAUACUGGUCCGUUACUGACGCUGAGGCUCGAAAGCGUGGGGAGCAAACAGGAUUAGAUACCCUGGUAGUCCACGCUGUAAACGAUGAGUGCUAGUUGUCGGCAUGCAUGCAUGUCGGUGACGCAGCUACGACAUAAGUACACGUCCGUCCGUCGGGUAGGUACGGUACGCGAGAAGUUAAACGUACUAAGUUAGAGUAGUUAGGCGUGAGAGNGCGAGGACGACGACGAGGAGGAGG
rnacentral:rRNA from 1 species